AGGAAAACGCAGGAAGGAAAAAGUCGCCCGUGUCAGGUGCUCGCUCAGAGAGUGAGCAACUCUGAAACUGUGUCAAAAGAAAGGUCUAGGACGAGGGUCGCAGUUUUGGGGAAGCUCGCAUUUGGCCACUUUCCAGGCUGGGCUGCUCGGAUGGAGUCAAUCGGAGACUUAGAAGAUGCUACGUCUCACAGGCUGACUUCUGUAGCCACAGCUUCAAAGACAACAGUUUUCUUUUAAUCAGAGUCAAUUAAUUAAGAAAGAGACAAGAAGUAUAAGUAUCUUGGAAAGAUACCAAACAGAAGCUAAGAGAAGCUACUCUGAGGAGGAUGUCAAACAUCACACUGAUGCGGGUACAAUGGAACUCCAGCAAAAACAAAAGAACCCAAAUCAGACGCUGUGGGAUCCAGCCAGGAGAAAUAUCCUGAACUGAUAAAUCCAUGUUUAAUUAAGUGCCUUCAGUGUGUUAUACGGGAAAUAGCUCUUCCAGGAGUGAACUUUGCCUAAGAAGAAUCUGAUUUCCAGAAAAUAUCAGUUAACUAAGUCUAAAUAAUUAAUUUAUGUGUCAGUUAGGUUUUGAGCCCCCCUAAGAGGUCUUGUUUUGUUAC
rnacentral:lncRNA from 1 species